rnacentral:rRNA from 1 species
UUGUGGGAAUUUAGUAAACACGUGAACCACCCGAACCCUUUCCGAAUUCGAUAAGUGAAAUCGUGUUUAGCCAUAGGUACUUAUGUUUAAAUUUGGGAGACUUGGUUUAUUCCCGCGA